GUGCAGAAUUGGAUUCACUGAUACAAUAUUAAAAUGGCAGCAUUUUAGAUGCUGCAGUGUAAGAAAUAACCUGGAGAGUGCCUACAGAUCAGAAAUGAACCGCAUCCCCUCUGGUGGUCACAGAAGAAGGAGCAUCAUCGAAAGGAACUAUACCAUUACCUAAAUAUUUACUGCAGCAGGAUUCCUUCCUUUUAGACGUGUCUCUGCGAGACACUAUUUCUCCCUCUAGGGUUUGACUUCUUUUCCCAGAAACAGCAUUCGUUUUCCACAAAACCUUAUUACGUUCCAAUUGCUCAAUCCUUUGCUUCUGCUCCUGAAGGUUAUGCUCUAGCUCAUGAAUUUUCAUAGUGAGGUUUCUAAUUGUUUCACUUUGUUCCUGGUUUGUUUUCAUUUCCUUAACGUAACGUUUCUGUAGAUUAUUAUACAGCUGUAGUAGUCUGGCACUUCCACCCUCUAAAUUAAGAUCCUUGCUGUAUCCACC
rnacentral:lncRNA from 1 species